rnacentral:rRNA from 1 species
UUAUCGGAUUAUUGGGCGUAAGCGCGCGUAGGCGGUUUUUUAAGUCUGAUGUGAAAGCCCACGGCUCAACCGUGGAGGGUCAUUGGAAACUGGAAAACUUGAGUGCAGAAGAGGAAAGUGGAAUUCCAUGUGUAGCGGUGAAAUGCGCAGAGAUAUGGAGGAACACCAGUGGCGAAGGCGACUUUCUGGUCUGUAACUGACGCUGAUGUGCGAAAGCGUGGGGAUCAAACAGGAUUAGAUACCCAAGUAG